GGAGGAUGUUAGAGUAAAAGAAGAGGAGGAAGCGUUUUAUGGAUUGAAAGAGGAGGGGGAGAUGACGUUCACAUUGAAAAAGGAGGGGGAAGAAGAGGAGGAACCUGGAUAUCUGGGUCCCGGUUUCCCAAAUGCAUCUUAAGGUGUCCGAUGGUUCUAACGUUGAAUUUAGCCAUAAGAUGGUUUUGAGAAACUGUUCCCUGAUUAACACUAGACAAUGACCCAACACACCUCCAGGCUGUGUAAGGGCUAUUUUACCAAGAAGGAGAGUGAUGGAGUGCUGCACCAGCUGACCUGGCCUUCACAAUCACCCAACCUCCACCCAAGUGAGAUGGUUCGGGAUGAGUUGGAUCACAGAGUGAAGGAAAAGCAGCCAAAAAGUGCUCAGCAUAUGUGGGAACUCCUUCAAGACUGUUGGAAAAGCAUUCCAGGAGAGGAACCAGACUCUCACUCUGACAGCGGGAAGAGUCCUUCAGGGGAACCAGGCCCAGAGACGCCCAAACCAGCGAGACAACACCACUGCUCCCACUGUGAAAAUAGUUUUUGCUGGAUAGGGAACCUAAAACUGCAUGAGAGGACACGCACUGGAGAAAAGCCUUUCCAAUGCUCCCAGUGUGGAAAGAGUUUUGCUGUGUUAGCUAACCUGAAAAGGCACAAGAGACUACACACAGGAGAAAAGCCUUAUCACUGUUCCCAAUGUGGAAUGAGUUUUAAUCAGGAUAGGGACCUAAAAGCUCACGAGGAAACACACAGGAGAAAAGCAUUUCCAAUGUUCCCAGUGUGGAAAGAGUUUUACCAUGUUAACUAACCUGAAAAGGCAUGAAAGAAUACACACAGGAGAAAAGCAUUUUCUGCUCCCAGUGUAAAAAUAGAUUUUCACGAAUGUCGUACCUUGUUAUGGCUGCAAUCCCAACACCGGGAUCGAUAUGACAACUACCAGUUGCCUCUUCUUGGGCAGAUUUAGUGGAUCUCAUGGUGGGUGUCUUAUAUCCCAGUUGUUGUUACUAGUCAACUUUCAGUGGACACCCCCAUAGUCUUUCAGAACCCCUCCUUUAAAAACAAGCUUAUGUUUUAGGUUGGAUAUUGCAUCCAAUUGUUAGUUAAUAUUUUAAUCAAUGGCAUUUCCUUAGAAUGCUCAUUAGUUUUUCUGUUGUUGUUCUGUUUUUUAUCCUCUUAUGUUUGUGUACUAAAUAUUUCUGUUUAUUUUCAUAUUUUUUUCCUGUGAAGCCAUUGUGUUGCAUCCAUGUCUGAAAUGUGCUGUAUAAAUAAAGCUUGAUUUGAUUUGAACAUAUUGCUAAAUAAAUUAUCCCAAUGACCGACCAAU